AGCUAAGGGAGCUGGGCAUGUUUAGCCUGGAGAAGAGGAGGUUAAGGGGUGAUAUGAUAGCCAUGUUCAAAUAUAUAAAAGGAUGUCACAUAGAGGAGGGAGAAAGGUUGUUUUCUGCUGCUCCAGAGAAGCGGACACGGAGCAAUGGAUCCAAACUACAAGAAAGAAGAUUCCACCUAAACAUUAGGAAGAACUUCCUGACAGUAAGAGCUGCUCGACAGUGGAAUUUGCUGCCAAGGAGUGUGGUGGAGUCUCCUUCUUUGGAGGUCUUUAAGCAGAGGCUUGACAACCAUCUGUCAGGAGUGCUCUGAUGGUGUUUCCUGCUUGGCAGGGGGUUGGACUCGAUGGCCCUUGUGGUCUCUUCCAACUCUAUGAUUCUAUGAUUCUAUGAAAAUAAAUAAAGAAUAAACAUUCAUUCUCAUGAAUAUAUGCAUGCUGCUUUUAAAAAGAAAGAAAGAAAAGGUGGACAUCUUGCACAAAGGAUGCAACCUGCUAUUUCUGCAGCUCUGGGUUAGUGACCAAAGAAGCUGUUAAAAACAGUAAUGAAACCGUAGAGUGUGAAAGUGUCUGGAGGGUUAAAUAGUUGCAAAUAGAGUGAAAUUAAUAAUUAAAAGUAUAUACUGCAGACCACAAAAGCAGAGCUACAUACAUUUGAUGUACAGUGAUUUGGCUAUCCCACUUUCUAAUGUUCACCUUUGUGAUAAUGAAUGUCAUUAGAUGUUAUUGUUGGGUUACACGGUUGGGUGUGCGUGUUAGCACAACAUGGACAAGGUAUACUAACACACAGUCAUGGGGGAUCUGCUACAGUUGGCAUUUGUAGCACAGUUGUGAAAGCUACAAUGAAUUCAUGAAUAUCGCUAAUUAGCCAUAUAAACAGAUUCUAAUGUAUUAUCUUUCCCUUAUUACAUUAAUCAAUUAAUGGAAAACUAGACUUUUUUAAAAGAUACAAUUAUUAUUUCCCUUUAUGCCUUCCACACAUUGAUGGCAGAAUAUUUAUAUUACUCAAAACAUGAGAGCAGAAAAAGUAGUAGACUUUGAAAACUUCAGUAUAUAUAAUAUUGCAAAAUAAAAUAUUGGUCUUUGGGGCUACAAUUCUGUACCCACUUAUCUGGGAGCAGACCUCAUUGAACAGAAGUAUCUUUGUAGCUCAAUGGUACAGCACAUGUUUUUCGUGUAGAAGGUCCUGAAUUUGAUCACUGGCAUCUCCAGGCAGAAGUGUGGACGUUGCUUGUCUGAAAUCCUGGAGAACCAAUACCAGUCAAUGUAGACAAUAUGUAGCUGCAUGAAGCAAUGGUCUGUCUCAGUUUAAGGUAGCUUUUAAUGAUCCUGUACAACUUAGUGGGACUUAUUUCUAACAAAUUUGCAGAAGAUUGAUAGUGUUUCCAGUGAUCUAAUGGUGCUGUCUUAACAGUGCAAUCCAAGAAAGCUCUGCAGAGUCUCAUCAACCGUUUUGCCCAAGCCUGUAUGGAGUUUGCUUUUACUAUCUUAAUGAUGGAGACCAACAUCCUGGGUCAGAAUGUUGCCAGCACUCCAAGCAUCAGCACUGGUGACCACAAGCUUGAGGUGGUAGAUGAUUGUGUCUACCAGGGUUUCACCAUAACCAGCAACCUCUCCAUCAACGCUGAGCUGGACCUGAGCUGGACCUUGCUAAUCCGCUGAGCGUGUUGGCAAGGCAGGUAUGACAAUGGCCCACCUCUUCAAAAGGGUAUGGGAGAAUGUGAUGCUAACAUCCAAUACCAAGAUGAAGGUCUACCAGGCUUGUAUGCUGAGCACACUGCUUUACAGUAGUGAGAUGUGGGGAACUGACACCUGCCAGGAGCACCACGUCAAUGCCUUCCACAUGCACGGCAUCAGGAAGAUUUUGGGCAUCACAUGGCAGGACAGAGUCUCAAAGGAAGAUGUGCCCACAUUCUCAAACCCACAUUCCCAGUACGUUCACACUCCUGUCUCAGUGACAUCUGUGUUAGGAUCAUCCUACUUGUGUGUAGGAUUCUGGUAGAGACACGUGCCCGACUGGCAUGUUCUCUCCUUCCUGGUUGGUCGUUCGGGAGCUUCAAAAGCUUUCUCCAGCCUGAAUAUCACAGUGACUGAUACCAAGAGGCAUCAGCACACUUAGGGAUCCUGCAGAGUAUUUACAGUUUGCAUAACACAACUCAGUAGCACAGCAUUUUGGCUAAUCUACGUUUAUUUACAUAUAAUACACUCGGAGCAUUCUGACUUAGCUCCUUCCUCUUUCUCAUCAGACAGCAAAGAGAAAGAAACAAAGGACAAUAGUCCCACAUCACAGAAUACAGUAACCAAAACAUCCUGUCUCCAUCACUUCCCACACUGUGGAAUGAAAACAUACACCGUCAUGUGAUAGACAACAAUCCCAUGACUGCAAACAUGGAGCAAGAAUCCUAACAUCCUGUGCUGUCUUGGUCAUGUCCGCAGAAUGGAAGAUGGCAGGAAGGACUUGCUCUCUGGGGAGCUGGCUUCAGGCACCAGGCCCAUUGGUCAUGUCUACAAACAUGACAUGAUGCAGAUGACCACAGCCCCUGGAGACAAUCAUUCAGGUCGCGUAUCCACAGCAGUGACCAGAGGAGGAACAGCCACUGGGGGGAGUGCAGAGAGAAGAAACACCAUAGUACAUGAGUAUCAGCACAACCGGAUGCCUUCAUCUGCCCCAGCUGCAACAAAACAUGUCUUUCUCAUAUCGGUCUCAACAGCCACAGCAGGUGCUGUAACUCUUCUAUUGUUUGACUUCACUUCCAAAGGCACACUCUUCCGCUGUCUCCCAAAGCAGAUGGAUGUCAGCCUAAAGACAGCUGAACUAAUUGACAGUCUCUCAGCCUAACCUACCUCACAGGGUUGUUGUGGAGAUUAAAUGAGGAGUGGGAGAGCUAUGUACACUACCUUGGAGGAAAAUGUGGGAUAUGAAUGCAAUAAAAAUAAAUACUCACUAGUGGCAAACUUUGUUACUUCCAUGAAAAUGGAAUUUCCCAGUAUUUCAAGGGUGGAUGCCAGACCAAAGUAUAUGAAUGAGGAAGAAGAGAGAUCCAGCUUCGUGUUCACCGACUGACUGUGAGCCUGUAUCUGCUGGGUAUCGGCCUUUUGACUUUCACCAAGCGAUUCUUCACAGCAACUCCCUGUUGCCUGUCGUCCGAACGACUCCAACUUUGAUCUUGGUGGCCUCUUUUGAAGGUUGCACGUAUCACAUUCCAGGCAUGCCUCUGUGCUUGUGGCUCUAUAUUAGUCUUUAUAGGAAGUCAAUGAGAUGGAACUCGAUAGGAGGGGGAAAAAGAAGAAGGCUUAAGGGCCAUUUGAAGACAAAUGGGAAGGCCCAGCACUCAAUAACUUUACUGAAUCAUAUUUUUCAAGCCUUCCUGGUAUGAACAGGAGGGAAAGGGGGCAGGCCUGCUUCCUUUGAAAGGUCAUUCACCUUCUCCUGCUGAAGAGCUGGUGUUUUGUUCUUGUUCUUGUUUUGUUUUUAAAGAAAACCCUACCGUCCAUUUUAUAGGAAGCCAUAAAGAACAAUAAAUUAAGGGGAACUGAAUUAUAUUGAAAGCAAGCAGUGUAUUGUCCCCUAUAUUAGCUUUGAUCCUCUUCUCAGGCCCUGCCUUGAGUACCAAGAUAAGAAGUGACGGCAAGAAGCAGAGACUGGGUGUUAAUUGCCCCAAGGCUGUGGAGUGAACUUCCCCCCUGAGGCUCCUAAUUCCCACUCACAAUUGACCUUCCAGAGAAGGUACAAAACCCAUCCCUUUCCACUCAACUAAGUACUGUGCCGGACGGAAUUGGGGUAGGCUGUUUUGUCUUGUUUUGUUUUGUUUCUUUUUCUGCUGUUGUCAUUGCAAUUGUUUUAUUAUUUCAUUGCUUGGUAUGCCAGCUUAUGAGUAUGGAAAGGCGGGCAAAGUAAUUAAUUAAAGAAAUAUGAAGGGCACAUGUCUUGUGGAAACAUUCUAUUUGCCCAGGCUUUCCCUGACCCAUAGAGUUAGUCCCUGUUUUUCUGAAUUCCUGCUUUUUAAAUAUAUAAUCUUGUAUUCUUGGUUUUUAUGCUAUUUUUGUAUACAGCUUAGAUUUUUCUUUUAAAAGAUACUAAAUGGUUUCAGAAAUGCUUUUACAUAAAUGAAUAAAUGCAUAUACCAGGGAUGGAGAAUAUGUUGCCUUCUAGUUAUUGCUGAGGCUAUUACUCCCAUAAUCCCUGGGAGUUGAAGUCCCUGGGAUGGCCAAGCUGACUGGGAUUGAUGGAAGUCCAACAAUGUCUGGAGGGCCUGAAGUUCCCCCUCCCUGGCAUAUACACUUCUUGACCCCAGACAUAUUUACUACCGUAAGAGUUCUUUCACAACUGCAAGGGUCUAAGCCACAGUGGUAAGCAUCUGAACACAGGGACCAAAUGUGUCUCGCCCAAUUCUUGCUCUUUCUCCUGGCUAAAAACAAUGGUGGGGUGGGCCCCUGCUCUUUAUCUGAUAUGUGGGGAAAUUUCUCAGAUGCAUUUGCAAGGCUAUAGAGCUGACCAAACUACCAAAAGUUAAAAGAGCCUUCUUGCUGGUACAGCUGGUACAGCUGGAGAUAGCUAGCUUUAUUAUGUGGUAAUAUGUUUACACAGUAGUAAGUCAUUUAUUUACAUAUGUACACGAGGACCAAUGUAGUCAUAGUGGUUAAGAGGGUUGGAAGGAUCAAGGUUCAGAGGUGCCAACUAUAGAGGGUCCCGGGGGCCCAAACACCCACAAAAAAAAUUGUGGGUGUAGCACCCACACCACAGGGCCCCCGACACAACUUCCAGUGCCUCGCUAAGCACCGGAAGUCACGUCCAAGGCCUCAUGAGACCUCAGAGAUGCUGCCCAAGGCCUUGCAAGACACCAGAAACUGACCUCUGGUGCCACAGGAAGUCAGGUUCUGAGGCCGUGGGACAUUUGACAUCAUGAUGUCACAUCAUGUGUACCAGGCACCCAUAACCUAGGGCCCAAGUUGGCACCCCGUCAAGGUUCAAAUCUUUACUCAGCUAUGAAGCUAAAUGGUUGACUUAGGACCAGUCACUGUCUCUCAGCCAAACCAUUAACAGGAGAGGGAUCCAAUUUGGGAGGCCCUGCAAGGCUACCCUGAACCUGAUGCAGGGAAAAAAUCCACCCAACUUUUAUGAGCGAGAACUGAUAGAUGCAACAGUGAAUCGCCUGCUCCGAUUCACCCAGUAGUGAAGUUAGGCCCAGAUUAGGAUCACUUGAGCUGUUACUUAGGAUUUCCGAGUUGUUCCUGUCUCCCAAAGGCAAACUUUUCUCCCACCCCAUGUUUGACCUAUGGUAUAAGUUGCCUCUACACCAUUCUAUUCUCAUGCCCAAGCACAUAUUGUAACUUACCUUUGUUCCUUCUGGUUACUGUAACAAAGCAACAUGUAUAUAUUUCCUUGAUAAACAUAUAUAUUCAAACACCAUUUAGCUUGCUAAUGAAAGUGAUCUAUCCUCAGUGCACCAUCCUGCACAUAAUUAGUUAAUAAUUACCAAUUACUGUGUGCAGUUACAGCAACACUUCAUUUUGAAUGCUUCCCCUCAUCCAUGUCACUGUAUGCAGCGCUGUAAACCAUGGAAAUGUUUGGGAGCUGCCUUGUACUGAGUUAGACCAUUGGUCCAUCGAGUUCAGUGUUGUCUACACAGGCUGGCAAUGGCUCACUAAGGUUUCAAAGAAUGUUUCCAGUCCUAUCUGGAGAUGCCUUCUGCAUGUCAAGCAAAUGCUCAACCUUCUGCAUGUCAAGCAAAUGCUCAACCACUGAGCCACAGCACUGUAUGUUGAGCCCAAGAGAUUUCCUUGACAGCACAAUUUCAGCCUCUCCAGCCUAUUCAUAAACCAGUUUUGUAGUAAUCCUGGAUAGCAAACCGUUUGUUGAAUUCAGAAAUGGUUAGGGAUUAGAUCUGGCCUGUGUGUCGAUAUGGCAGCUACCUGCAGUGGAAGGCUCCUGGACUGAUUCGGCAGAAACACCAGUUUGUGAAGAGAGGGUGUGAAUUUACAGAGGGGAAUCUUGGACUACAGAUUUGGACUAUAAAGAAGAAGAGUAAAGACAUAAAAUCCAAACAGAAACAUUUUAUUUGGACUUAAACUCACUUGCAGAAUGAAUGCAGAGGCUGUUGAAAAUAAUGAAGGAUUAACAUCAGAAUGCAUUAAAAGAAUUAUUGUAAUAUUUUGAAAUGCAGUAGAACUAUGAGAUUAGGAUUCCCUCCGAUCUCGAAGCAUGGGAAGUCAGCUAAAAAAUAAUAAUAAUUUAUAAUUAGGCAUAACAUUGGGAUUUGUUUGAUUAUUGGAUAAUUUGUAUAAUUUGGAAUAUAUAACUUGGUUUGAUUGGAAAACUUCAAUAAAUAUUAUUUU